UACGUAGGGACCAAGCGUUGUCCGGAUUCAUUGGGCGUAAAGAGCUCGUAGGCGGUUCGAUAAGUCGGGUGUGAAACCUCCAGGCUCAACCUGGAGACGCCACCCGAUACUGUCGUGACUAGAGUCCAGUAGGGGAGCGUGGAAUUCCUGGUGUAGCGGUGAAAUGCGCAGAUAUCAGGAGGAACACCGAUGGCGAAGGCAGGUCUCUGGGCCACUACUGACGCUGAGAAGCGAAAGCGUGGGGAGCGAACAGG
rnacentral:rRNA from 1 species